rnacentral:rRNA from 1 species
AUUGAACGCUGGCGGCAUGCCUUACACAUGCAAGUCGAACGGUAACAGGUCUUCGGAUGCUGACGAGUGGCGAACGGGUGAGUAAUACAUCGGAACGUGCCCAGUCGUGGGGGAUAACGCAGCGAAAGCUGUGCUAAUACCGCAUACGAUCUAUGGAUGAAAGCGGGGGACCGUAAGGCCUCGCGCGAUUGGAGCGGCCGAUGUCAGAUUAGGUAGUUGGUGGGGUAAAGGCUCACCAAGCCAACGAUCUGUAGCUGGUCUGAGAGGACGACCAGCCACACGGGGACUGAGACACGGCCCAGACUCCUACGGGAGGAAGCAGUGGGGAAUUUUGGACAAUGGGCGCAAGCCUGAUCCAGCAAUGCCGCGUGCAGGAAGAAGGCCUUCGGGUUGUAAACUGCUUUUGUACGGAACGAAAAGGUUUGGGUUAAUACCCUGGGCCGAUGACGGUACCGUAAGAAUAAGCACCGGCUAACUACGUGCCAGCCGCCGCGGUAAAAC